GAUGAACGCUGGCGGCGUGCCUAAUACAUGCAAGUCGAGCGAACAGAUGAGGAGCUUGCUCCUCUGACGUUAGCGGCGGACGGGUGAGUAACACGUGGAUAACCUACCUAUAAGACUGGGAUAACUUCGGGAAACCGGAGCUAAUACCGGAUAAUAUAUUGAACCGCAUGGUUCAAUAGUGAAAGACGGUUUUGCUGUCACUUAUAGAUGGAUCCGCGCCGCAUUAGCUAGUUGGUAAGGUAACGGCUUACCAAGGCAACGAUGCGUAGCCGACCUGAGAGGGUGAGCGGCCACACUGGAACUGAGAGACGGUCCAGAGUCCUACGGGAGGCAGCAGUAGGGAAUCUUCCGCAAUGGGCGAAAGCCUGACGGAGCAACGCCGCGUGAGUGAUGAAGGUCUUCGGAUCGUAAAACUCUGUUAGUAGGGAAGAACAAAUGUGUAAGUAACUAUGCACGUCUUGACGGUACCUAAUCAGAAAGCCACGGCUAACUACGUG
rnacentral:rRNA from 1 species